rnacentral:rRNA from 1 species
AAGAUAAUGACAGUAGCGGAAGAAGAAGCUCCGGCUAAAUUCGUGCCAGCAGCCGCGGUAAUACGAAUGGAGCGAGCGUUGUUCGGAAUCACUGGGCGUAAAGCGUACGCAGGCGGUCAUGAAAGUUAGGAGUGAAAGCCCCGGGCUUAACCCGGGAAUUGCUCUUAAAACUCCAUGACUGGAGUACUGGAGAGGUUGGCGGAAUUCCAAGUGUAGCAGUGAAAUGCGUAGAUAUUUGGAGGAACACCGAUGGCGUAGGCAGCCAACUGGACAGUUACUGACGCUCAUGUACGAAAGCGUGGGGAUCAAACAGGAUUAGAUACCCUGGUAGUCCACGCCCUAAACGAUGUGUGCUAGUUGUCAGACCCUUAGGGUUUGGUGACGCAGCUAACGCUUUAAGCACACCGCCUGGGGAGUACGGUCGCAAGAUUAAAACUCAAAGGAAUUGACGGGGACCCGCACAAGCGGUGGAGCAUGUUCUUUAAUUCGAAGCAACGCGAAGAACCUUACCUACACUUGACAUACCUCUUGGGACUUUCAGAGAUGAUUGUUUUCGGUUCGGCCGGGGAGAGUACAGGUGCUGCAUGGCUGUCGUCAGCUCGUGUCGUGAGAUGUUGGGUUAAGUCCCGCAACGAGCGCAACCCUUAUCGUAUGUUGCCAGCAUUUAGUUGGGCACUCAUGCGAGACUGCCGGUGAUAAGCCGGAGGAAGGCGGGGACGACGUCAAGUCAUCAUGGCCCUUACGUGUAGGGCUAGAAACGUGCUACAAUGGCGGUGGCAAUGGGCAGCGAGGUCGUGAGGCCAAGCUAAUCCCUAAAAGCCGUCUCAGUUCAGAUUGUAGUCUGCAACUCGACUACAUGAAG